rnacentral:rRNA from 1 species
GUCUACGGCCGUGCCACCUAGAACAAGCCUGAUGUCUGAUCCCAGAAGCUAAUAAGCAGGGUCGGGCCUGGUUAGUACUUGGAUGGGAGACCGUCACCUAGGAAGACCAGGUGCUGUAGGCA